UUAAGCAUAUCAAUAAGCGGAGGAAAAGAAACCAACAGGGAUUGCCCUAGUAACGGCGAGUGAAGCGGCAAAAGCUCAAAUUUGAAAUCUGGCUUCGGCCCGAGUUGUAAUUUGUAGAGGAUGUUUCGGGCACCGCCCCGGCGUAAGUCCCUUGGAACAGGGCGUCAUAGAGGGUGAGAAUCCCGUCUGGCGUCGUGGUAGGGCCCAUGUGAAACUCCUUCGACGAGUCGAGUUGUUUGGGAAUGCAGCUCAAAAUGGGUGGUAAAUUUCAUCUAAAGCUAAAUACUGGCCAGAGACCGAUAGCGCACAAGUAGAGUGAUCGAAAGAUGAAAAGCACUUUGAAAAGAGAGUUAAACAGUAUGUGAAAUUGUUGAAAGGGAAGCGCUUACAACCAGACUUGAGCCCGUCGGUUCCCCCUCGCUUCUGCGUGGGCUACUCCGGCGGGUCCAGGCCAACAUCGGUUCGGGUGGCUGGUCAAAGGCCCCGGGAAUGUACCUCACCUUCGGGUUAGGCUUAUAGCCCGGGGUGUCAUGCGGCCUACCUGGACCGAGGAACGCGCUUCGGCUCGGAUGUUGGCGUAAUGGUUGUCAGCGACCCGUCUUGAAACACGGACCAAGGAGUCGAAGAGCUAUGCGAGUGUUUGGGUGUCAAACCCGUACGCGUAAUGAAAGUGAACGGAGGUAGGAAGCUUCGGCUGCACUAUCGACCGAUCCUGAUGUUCUCGGAUGGAUUUGAGUAAGAGCAUAACUCUCCGGACCCGAAAGAUGGUGAACUAUGCCUGAAUAGGGUGAAGCCAGAGGAAACUCUGGUGGAGGCUCGCAGCGGUUCUGACGUGCAAAUCGAUCGUCAAAUUUGGGUAUAGGGGCGAAAGACUAAUCGAACCAUCUGGUAGCUGGUUCCUGCCGAAGUUUCCCUCAGGAUAGCAGUAACGUUUUCAGUUUUAUGAGGUAAAGCGAAUGAUUAGAGGCCUUGGGGUUGAAACAACCUUAACCUAUUCUCAAACUUUAAAUAUGUAAGAAGUCCUUGUUACUUAGUUGAACGUGGACAUUUGAAUGUAUCGUUACUAGUGGGCCAUUUUUGGUAAGCAGAACUGGCGAUGCGGGAUGAACCGAACGUGAGGUUAAGGUGCCGGACUGCACGCUCAUCAGACACCACAAAAGGUGUCAAUGCAUCUAGACAGCCGGACGGUGGCCAUGGAAGUCGGAAUCCGCUUAGGAGUGUGUAACAACUCACCGGCCGAAUGCAUUGGCCCUGAAAAUGGAUGGCGCUUAAGCGUGCGACCUAUACCUCGCCGUCAGGGUUGACAUGAUGCCCUGACGAGUAGGCAGGCGUGGAGGUUUGUGACGAAGCCUUGGGGGUGACCCCGGGUC
rnacentral:rRNA from 1 species